rnacentral:rRNA from 1 species
UCGGCUUAGAGUUUGAUCAUGGCUCAGAUUGAACGCUGGCGGCAGGCUUAACACAUGCAAGUCGAGCGGUAGGGGAGCUUGCUCCCCACGAGCGGCGGACGGGUGAGUAAUGUCUGGGAAACUGCCUGAUGGAGGGGGAUAACUACUGGAAACGGUAGCUAAUACCGCAUAACGUCGCAAGACCAAAGAGGUUCGUCUUGCCAUCAGAUGUGCCCAGAUGGGAUUAGCUAGUAGGUGGGGUAAUGGCUCACCUAGGCGACGAUCCCUAACUGGUCUGAGAGGAUGACCAGCCACACUGGAACUGAGACACGGUCCAGACUCCUACGGGAGGCAGCAGUGGGGAAUAUUGCACAAUGGGCGCAAGCCUGAUGCAGCCAUGCCGCGUGUGUGAAGAAGGCCUUCGGGUUGUAAAGCACUUUCAGCGAGGAGGAAGGUGGUGAGUAAUCUCAUCAAUUGACGUUACUCGCAGAAGAAGCACCGGCUAACUCCGUGCCAGCAGCCGCGGUAAUACGGAGGGUGCAAGCGUUAAUCGGAAUUACUGGGCGUAAAGCGCACGCAGGCGGUUUGUUAAGUCAGAUGUGAAAUCCCCGGGCUCAACCUGGGAACUGCAUUUGAAACUGGCC